rnacentral:lncRNA from 1 species
AAAAUAAUAGAUCUCUCAUAAUACUCAUACAAUCAUUCAUCACCAUUACAUUCAAUAAGAAUACAAAAGUAGAUCCUUUGUACGACACAUACUACCAUUCAUUAGUAGCUCAAAUUCAUAACAGCCCCCAACAUCACAUUCGGUUUAGUAUUCAUCACAACUCAAUAAGAUGUUCACCUCAAAAGGGUCAGUUUAGAACUCUAACAUUUUCACCAUUGUUUCAACAUUCAUCAAGAACUUGUUCGACAUUUCAUAGUCAUUUCGACAAUCAUCAAGAAUUUAAUCCAACUCUUCUUCGUCAUUUCUUCUUACAACAAGGAUUUAAUAACAUAUCAUCACAAGUUAACCAUUUCAAAACAUAAACAUCAAAAUGGAAAAAGGUGGAAACCACCUACCUGCUCCACUUGUGGUUUGUCCUUGUCCUGGCAAUGGUCCGAUUUCGGCCACAACACCUAAGACACCAAAGACCACAAUCAAUUCAUUUGUAUCUUCGAUUCACAUUCAUCCCACACUUAUUUCAAGAAUUCAUAUGUUAACAUUCAAGUGUUCCACAUUUUACACCAUCAUACUAUGAGAUUGUUACUAGAAUUUAAGUCAUUUCUGCCUUGUAGAAAUCGGCAGCGAAAACUGGCUCGCUGCAGGCUGCCCAACUCGGCAGCGAAAACUGGUUCGCUGCGGGCUGCCACUUCGGCAGUGAAAACUAGUUCGCAGCGGGCUGCCAUUUCGGCAGCGAAAUCAUAAAUUUUCUGUAGAAUACAAAUUUCGGCAGCAAUGCUAAUUCGCUGCAGACAACUCAAUUUCGGCAGCGAAUCACAAUUUCGCUGCAACAUACUCAACUUCGGCAGUGAAUCACAGAUUCACGGCAGGACACCAAUUUCGGCAGCGAAUCACAGAUUCGCGGCAGCACACAAAUUUCGGCAGCGAAUCACAUAUUCGCGGCAGAACACAAAUUUCGGCAGCGAAUCACACAUUCGCGGCAGAACACAAAUUUUUGGCAGCGAAUCUCAAAUUCGCUGCAGCCAACUCCACUUCGGCAGCGAAUCACAAAUUCAUAGCAGAACACAAAUUUCGGCAGCGAAUCACAGAUUCGCGGGAGCACACCAAUUUCGGCAGCGAAUCACAGAUUCGCGGCAGAAUACAAAUUUCGGCAGCGAAUCACAGAUUCGCGGCAGAAUACAAAUUUCGGCAGCGAAUCACAAAUUCGCUGCAGCCAACUCCACUUCAGCAGCGAAUCACAAAUUCGCUGCAGCCAACUCCACUUCAGCAGCGAAUCACAAAUUCGCUGCAGGAGACACAUUUUGGCAGCGAAAACUAAUUCGCUGCAGCAAACUCAGUUUCGGCAGCGAAUCACAGAUUCGCGGCAGAAUACAAUUUUCGGCAGCGAAUCACAAAUUCGCUGCAGCCAACUCCACUUCGGCAGCGAAUCACAAAUUCGCGGUAGAAUAACAAUUUCGGCAGCGAAUCACAAAUUCGCGGCAGGACACCAAUUGCGGCAGCGAAUCACAUAUUCGCGGCAGAAUACAAAUUUCGGCAGCGAAUCACAAAUUCGCUGCAGCCAACUCCACUUCGGCAGCGAAUCACAAAUUCGCUGCAGAAGACACAUUUCGGCAGCGAAAACUAAUUCGCUGCAUAAAACUCAGUUUCGGCAGCGAAUCACAGAUUCGCGGCAGAAUACAAAUUUCGGCAGCGAAUCACAAAUUCGCUGCAGAAGACACAUUUCGGCAGCGAAAACUAAUUCGCUGCAAAAAACUCAGUUUCGGCAGCGAAUCACAGAUUCGCGGUAGAAUACAAUUUCGGCAGCGAAUCACAAUUUCGCUGUAGCCAACUCCACUUCGACAGCGAAUCACAAAUUCGCUGCAGAAGACACAUUUCGGCAGCGAAAACUAAUUCGCCGCAGAAAAGUCAGUUUCGGCAGCGAAUCAUAAAUUCGCUGCCCAACCCACAUUUUGGCAUGAACACACACGCACCACACGUUGCAACAACUCCAGUACAUAAACUGUCACUAAGUUCCAGCAGAACACACACAUUGAAACCAUCAAUUUCAGCAUAUAAUUUUUCAAUAAAUUCCAGCAGCAUACACACAUUAAACCCAUCAAUAUCAGCAUAAAAUCUCUUGUUAAUUAUUCUGAAAUCAAGUCCCCCCUCCAGCCCCGUUUUGUCCCUCCUUUUAGCUUAGUUCUUUUCCAUAACAGUUGGAGUAAAGUUCCUAGGCCAUGCAUCUAGAUUUUUAUUCUUCUUCCUUUCGAUUUCAAGACCUUAAGAACAGGUGGAGAAAGACAUGGUUCAUACCUCACGGAUUUAGCAUUUUUGGGAGGGGUUUGACAACAUUUCUCCCCUUCUGCUCCCGAUUGUUUCUUCCUCUUCCUCUCUUUCGAUUUUUCACCUCCUCUUGUUAGUUCCCCACCGAUUUUGGGCCUCUCCUCCCUUCAUGUUUGCAGUUGUCCAGCCUCCUGUCAAGCUCUCCCUCCUUUCUCUCACGUCUAAGGAGGCACUUGCAGCUGGGGUUUGGUCAAGCUCUUUCUUUGGAGAGGGAAAGAGGGAAAGAGGGAAAGGGACAAGCAUCUCAUUUUAGGGGAAAGGAAGGGGACAAGAGCAUGCAGCUCACUUUGGGGAGAGGGAAGGGGACCAGCACGUUUUUUGGGAGGGUGUCUCCCUCUCUCUCUCCUUGCUGCAUUUAUACCCCUCCUAAAAGCAAAAGAGGGGUGUUUGCAUGUUGGACAAGGCUGUCCUAACCCUCCUUUUGGGUUAUCCUUAAGCUGAUUUUAGUUUCCCUUCUCUCCCCCUAGGAUAGGUGGGUCCCACAUUAAAACCUUUUAUUUUCUUAUUAUAUUAUUUUUUUUCAUGUCGCUGCCGAUUCAGAAAUCGGCAGCCAGCACUGCAUCGAUGCCGAUUCCAAUAUCGGCAGCCAGAAACUGCGUCGCUGUCGAUUCAGAUAUCGGCAGCCAGAAACUGCGUCGCUGCCGAUUCAGAAAUCGGCAGCCUGAAACUGCGUCGCUGCCGAUUCAGAAAUCGGCAGCCUGAAACUGCGUCGCUGCCGAUUCAGAUAUCGGCAGCCUGAAACUGCGUCGCUGCCGAUUCAGAUAUCGGCAGCCUGAAACUGCGUCGCUGCCGAUUCAGAAAUCGGCAGCCUGAAACUGCGUUCCUCCCGAUUUAGAAAUCGGCAGCCUGAAACUGCGUCGCUGCAGAUUCAGAUAUCGGCAGCCGAAACUGCGUCGCUGCCGAUUCAGAUAUCGGCAGCCGAAACUGCGUCGCUGCCGAUUCAGAUAUCGGCAGCCGAAACUUCGUCGCUGCCGAUUCAGAAAUCGGCAGCCUGAAACUGCGUCGCUGCCGAUUCAGAUAUCGGCAGCCUGAAACUGCGUCGCUGCCGAUUCAGAUAUCGGUAGCGAUGGUGGAGUCAUUUCAAUUCCACUUGUUUUUUUUUUUUUUGGAUGUUACAUUCUCCCCUCCUAAUAAAAUUUCGACCUUGAAAUUAAAGGGACUCGUAUUGCUAGUUCCUCCAGAUUCUUAGAGCAAAUGCCAUAGGAAGCGACCUUAGGUCAGGUCUCGGGUAAUUCUGUACUUGAGUCUUUAACUGUUUUGACACAUAAAUGAUAAAUUCUCCAUUUUUUGUUGUCAAUUUCUCCUAGUGCUCAAUAAAUGGUUAGCACUCAGUCCAACAACACAAGUACAUUAAAGUUAUUCAUGAACAUUGUACUUGUCACCGCAUCGGAUGCAACCGUAAUUUCUUCCUACAUCAGGUGAAAUACUCUUCUUGAAGUCCGAUCAUUUUGUGCCCCUGCCUCCCUUGGUUGGAGUUUGCUCCAGAUUGAAAAAAAACCCCCACCGGCCUAUCCACUGUGACUGUCUAUCGCUAACUUUGAAAGCGACUACGACAUCCUCAAUCCUUACUCAAUGUUUUUUGUUACAACAUUCCUUCUUUAUUAUGGCAUCAAAAUAUAUAUAGUUAUGUAAACCACAUUCCCAUAAUAUGGACAGUCACUGGGUAUAAGAACCCCCGAUCAUCCCUCAUCUAGUGAAAAUUGGGCAUCUAUAUAUAUAUAUAUUGGCCUCUACUCCAUGAAAGGUAUCUUGGUUUAUGCCCCUCAUCAAGGAUGCAUCAUCCGGAGAUAGAUCACAAAACUUUAGUAUCAUUGAUCCUCAGGAUCCAAACCAGGCGCUCUGAUACCAACUGUAACGACCCAACCUUUUCAAGGCCAAAGUCGCUAGAUUUUUAUUUUUUUUCAUCAUCUCGACUUAUUCAUCAUUUCCAUUUUUUUUUAUGUUCUAAUCUCGUAUUACCACGAGUUCAUACAUUAUCAUUCGUAAUCCAUUUCAAUAUUUAAUUACUAGUUUUUACAGAAGGAAUCGAAUGACUAAUUAAAUGAUUUACAUGUUCGUUCAUGCAGAACUCAUAUCACCCAUAAUAUACGAGUAUAUAAUUCUUUUUUGAAUGUGUGUGCCACGAAAUGAAUCUCCUUAUGCCCCAUAUUGGUAUGAUGUCCCUGUUCCAACACAAGGUAAUUUUAAGCAUUAUAGACCAUUUAAGAAAUAUAGUAAAACAAGAUUAAAGUCACAUUUCAUUCAUGGACCAAAAAGCAUAAUUCUUUAAUUUCCCUUUACUUAUGUCAACACAAACACCACCGUUAAUAAUCCGUCAAUUAACGAGACAAUUUCAAUACUCAAACCCGAUCAUUCCUCUCGAAUGUCGUUAGCCAAAUUAAUGUUUUUCUUUGGUUAAAGCAUAACUAGUAGAAUGCUUUCAUAUACUUAGUAUAUACGAAACGUAGUAUACAUGACCACAUUAGUUCUUCUUAAAACUAACUUCUAAACUCAAAUCCGACAAUCCUCUUUGGAGGCCAUUAGUCGAAGUCAAUCAUUUCUUCAUCUUGCUAUCCACUAGGGUGCCAUUAACCGUUUCUUCUUCUUCUUCUUCUUUUUUCUCUUCUUCUUCUUCUUCCUUUUCUUUUCUUUUUUCAUCACGGUCAUCCCUUAGGAUGCAAUUAACUGAAGCUAGUCAUUUCUUCAUCCUGAUUAUCCAUUUAGAAUGCUAUUAGCCAAAGGUAGUAAUUUCAUUAUCCCGAUUAUCCAUUUAGGAUGUCAUUAGUCGUAAUUAAUCAUUUGUUCACCUUGACUAUCCACCUAGGAUGUUAUUAGCCGAAGCUAGUAAUUCAUACAUCUCGGUUAUCCAUUUAGGAUGCCAUAUACCAAAGUUAAUCAUUUAUUCAUUCUGGUAAUUCAUAUAUGGUGCCAUUACCAUAGCAAUUCAUUUACUCAUUCUGGUAAUUCAUCUAUGGUGGAUUAGCCAAAUCUAAUUAAUCGUUUGUUCUGGUCAUCCACUCGGAUGCCAUUAGCCGAAGCUAAUCAAUCGUUUGUUCCGGCCAUCCACUCGGAUGCCAUUAGCUGAAGCUAAUCAGUCGUUUGUUCCGGUCAUCCACUCGGAUGCCAUUAGCCGAAGCUAAUCAGUGUUUUAUCAAACAAUUCAUGACAAUUUGACAUUCCUUGCAACAUCAAAGUAGACCCUUGGGGAUACUCGUAUCACCGUUUCCUAGUAAUUUAUCAUUCCGUAACACGAUGAUAGAUCCUUUGUAAUGCAAAAACCAAACAUCCCACAACAGUUUAGCAUUCAAUAUAACACAACACAACAGUACCCUUUGUAUCCUUCAUCCAACCAUUCUUGACAGUUAACGUUCAAUGCAACAUAAUAAUAAAUCCCCAGUAAUACUCACACCACCAUUCGUGGUAAUUAACCAUCAAUACGAUACAAUGAUAGGUCUUUCAUAACACUCAUACAAUCAAUAAAUGAUAGAUCAUUGGUAACACAUUCAUCACAAUUACAUUCAUAAAUAAUAGAUCUCUCAUAAUACUCAUACAAUCAUUCAUCACCAUUACAUUCAAUAAGAAUACAAAAGUAGAUCCUUUGUACGACACAUACUACCAUUCAUUAGUAGCUCAAAUUCAUAACAGCCCCCAACAUCACAUUCGGUUUAGUAUUCAUCACAACUCAAUAAGAUGUUCACCUCAAAAGGGUCAGUUUAGAACUCUAACAUUUUCACCAUUGUUUCAACAUUCAUCAAGAACUUGUUCGACAUUUCAUAGUCAUUUCGACAAUCAUCAAGAAUUUAAUCCAACUCUUCUUCGUCAUUUCUUCUUACAACAAGGAUUUAAUAACAUAUCAUCACAAGUUAACCAUUUCAAAACAUAAACAUCAA